GUGGCAUACGUAUGAUGCGGGCUGGACCUCUCGGGGUUACAGCCUUGCUGAAUUAUUCACCCUUGUCUUUUGCGUACUUCUUGUUUCCUUGGUGGGUUCGCCCACCACUAGGACAAACAUAAACCUUUUGUAAUUGCAAUCAGCGUCAGUAACAAAUUAAUAAUUACAACUUUCAACAACGGAUCUCUUGGUUCUGGCAUCGAUGAAGAACGCAGCGAAAUGCGAUAAGUAGUGUGAAUUGCAGAAUUCAGUGAAUCAUCGAAUCUUUGAACGCACAUUGCGCCCUUUGGUAUUCCAAAGGGCAUGCCUGUUCGAGCGUCAUUUGUACCCUCAAGCUUUGCUUGGUGUUGGGCGUCUUGUCUCUAGCUUUGCUGGAGACUCGCCUUAAAGUAAUUGGCAGCCGGCCUACUGGUUUCGGAGCGCAGCACAAGUCGCACUCUCUAUCAGCAAAGGUCUAGCAUCCAUUAAGCCUUUUUUUCAACUUUUGACCUCGGAUCAGGUAGGGAUACCCGCUGAACUUAAGCAUAUCAUGAGGCGGGAGAGGAAGAUUAAAUACCCUUUAUGAAGGCGGGCUGGAACCUCU
rnacentral:rRNA from 1 species